UGGAAUUAGAAAUAAUGUGAUGGGUCUGACC
rnacentral:piRNA from 1 species